UAGAUUUGGUGAAUUUUUGUACCAUGGAUACCAAGUUGACUUAUUAUAAACAAUGUUAUUAAGAACUAAAUUCCCAACAUGAAUCAUCCACAAAAUUUAUCUUUACAGUGAUUUACAAAAUUUUUAGUGAAAUGUAAUUAUUGUAUUCUGCACUUUAUUACUAAGGACCUUGCUAGAACCUCUAAAUGUCCAGGUCGACCUUGCUAGAACUGUUGAGGUGAUUGAAGAUGAAUGUGUUAACAAAAAAUUGACAGGUGAAUUGAUAAAUUAAUAACGUGGCCAAAUAGUCUACACAACACUUCUUACAAAGGAUAUGGAUCUACAAACAUGAGUGUGGCCUCUCUCCUAGACUGAUCAAGGUGUUAGCACUGAUCGUCAUCAUACUUAUCGUGCUGCAAUUACUCCUACAACAACUUUCUUCGAGGCCCACUGGAUCGAGCCGCUCUUCAUCUUCAACUCCUCUCUGCUCGCCAGGCACCACAUUUAUGUCUUGCCGAUGAACAGUAGCGAUAAGGGGGUUUCUGCCAACUCUUCCGAAA